CAGUCAAGCAAACAGUGUCUGGGGCUGCAGAAACCAGGGAGCAGAGAAUCCAGGGUAAACAUGACUUCCACGCUGACCAUUGCUCUUUUGCUUUCUUGGCAGUUUCAUGCUCCCUGUAGCAUCGUGCAAAGGCGGGGACCAGACUCUACUGGGAAAACUGGGAUGAGCUGAUGAGAGGAAUUUUGUCAUCUUUGUGCUAACCUAGACAUAUCACUGUGGCUCAGUGGUAAACAAUCUGCCUACCGAUGCACAAGAUGC